rnacentral:rRNA from 1 species
AUUGAACGCUGGCGGAAUGCUUUACACAUGCAAGUCGAACGGUAGAGGGGGCAACCCCUCGAGAGUGGCGAACGGGUGAGUAAUAUAUCGGAACGUGCCCAGUCGUGGGGGAUAACGUAGCGAAAGUUACGCUAAUACCGCAUACGAUCUAAGGAUGAAAGCGGGGGAUCGCAAGACCUCGCGCGAUUGGAGCGGCCGAUAUCAGAUUAGGUAGUUGGUGGGGUAAAGGCUCACCAAGCCAACGAUCUGUAGCUGGUCUGAGAGGACGACCAGCCUGACUGGACCUGAGACACGGUCCAGACUCCUACGGGAGGCAGCAGUUGGGAAUUUUGGACAAUGGACGCAAGUCUGAUCCAGCCAUUCCGCGUGCAGGAUGAAUGCCCUCGGGUUGGAAACUGCUUUUGUACGGAACGAAAAGGUCUCUCUUAAUACGGGGGGCUCAUGACGGUACCGUAAGAAUAAGCACCGGCUAACUACGUGCCAGCCGCCGCCGUAA